ACACAUGCAAGUCGAGCGGGGGAAGGUAGCUUGCUACUGGACCUAGCGGCGGACGGGUGAGUAAUGCUUAGGAAUCUGCCUAUUAGUGGGGGACAACAUCUCGAAAGGGAUGCUAAUACCGCAUACGUCCUACGGGAGAAAGCAGGGGAUCUUCGGACCUUGCGCUAAUAGAUGAGCCUAAGUCGGAUUAGCUAGUUGGUGGGGUAAAGGCCUACCAAGGCGACGAUCUGUAGCGGGUCUGAGAGGAUGAUCCGCCACACUGGGACUGAGACACGGCCCAGACUCCUACGGGAGGCAGCAGUGGGGAAUAUUGGACAAUGGGGGGAACCCUGAUCCAGCCAUGCCGCGUGUGUGAAGAAGGCUUA
rnacentral:rRNA from 1 species